AUACGGAAGGCAGCAGUUGGGAAUCUUGCGCAAUGGGCGAAAGCCUGACGCAGCGACGCCGCGUGCGGGAUGACGGUCUUCGGAUUGUAAACCGCUUUUCUUCGGGACGAUAAUGACGGUACCGAAGGAAUCAGCCCCGGCUAACUCCGUGCCAGCAGCCGCGGUAAGACGGAGGGGGCGAGCGUUGUCCGGAAUUACUGGGCGUAAAGGGCGCGUAGGCGGGCGUGUACGGCGGUGGUGAAAGCUCCCGGCUCAACUGGGAGAGGCCCUCCGCAACGGCACGUCUCGAGGGUGGUAGAGGCAGAUGGAAUUCCAGGUGUAGCGGUGAAAUGCGUAGAGAUCUGGAGGAACACCCGUGGCGAAGGCGGUCUGCUGGGCCAUGCCUGACGCUGAAGCGCGAAGGCCAGGGGAGUGAACGGGAUUAGAUACCCUGGUAGA
rnacentral:rRNA from 1 species